AUACGUAGGUCCCAAGCGUUGCGCGAUCUCACUGGGCGUAAAGCGUCCCCAGCCGGUCCGGUGAGCGGAUUUUCAAAACCCGCGGCUCAACCGCGGUAGGGCAACCCGAACUGCCGGACUUGAGGCAAGCCCAGGCAGGCGGAAUUCCCGGUGUAGCGGUGAAAUGCGUAGAUAUCGAGAGGAACACCAAAGGGGACGCCAGCCUGCUGGGGCUGCCCUGACGGUCACGAACGAAAGCUGGGGGAGCAAACCGGAUUAGAAACCCUAGUAGUCC
rnacentral:rRNA from 1 species